AGCCCCGCGGGCUUCUGCGCUGAGCUCCGGCCUUUGAGCCCCGCGUCCUGCCGGCAGAGGGGGCGGCAGCCCGGCCACCAUGAUACAGUUCAUCUUGCUCUUCAGUCGGCAAGGGAAACUGCGGCUGCAGAAAUGGUACACCACCCUCCCCGACAAAGAAAGAAAAAGGAUCACCAGGGAAAUCAUUCAGAUCAUUCUCUCUCGGGGCUACAGGACCAGCAGUUUUAUUGACUGGAAGGAGCUGAAACUUGUUUAUAAAAGGUAUGCUAGUUUAUAUUUUUGCUGUGCAAUAGAAAACCAAGACAAUGAGCUCUUGACGCUAGAGAUUGUGCAUCGGUAUGUGGAGUUGCUGGACAAAUACUUUGGAAAUGUCUGCGAGCUGGAUAUUAUCUUUAACUUUGAAAAGGCAUAUUUUAUCCUUGAUGAGUUUAUAAUAGGUGGGGAAGUUCAAGAAACAUCUAAGAAAACUGCUGUGAAGGCCAUUGAAGAGUCUGACAUGCUACAGGAGACGAUGGAAGACUAUAUGAACAAACCCACAUUUUAGCCAUGCAUCUACUUGAGGACUCAGUGCUCUGAGCUGUGCACAAUGAAGAAACAACACCCUGUAUCCAGUCUUGACACAGUCUUUAGCACCAUGCCAAAAAAUGACUUAAAGGGAUUCUUUAUUAACUAGCAAAAAUGGAAGUUGGUUAGCAUAGUACAUUUAUGCUGGCUACAUGUCUGUAUUGUACUGUAUGUGAGUAUUUACCCCGCCUCCAGCUGUUUGAAAUGACUGUUGCCUAAGCCAAUCAUCUAGUGAUUUGGAAUAUUUUAAUUCCAUAUGAUAUUUCCAAGCUAAUUUCAAAAUAUUAUUUGCAGUAUAUUUGUGUUGCAUUUGAUCUUUUACUGACGAUUUGAAAACCAUAUUGGCUAACCCAUGAUUUUGAGUGUAAAGUGUACCUUCUAUCGCUGUUUCCCUUCCUAAGUAUUUAGUUUUCUAAGUCGUAUAUGAAUUCAAAGUUAUGUUAAUAGUUCAGAGUUCAUAUAUAAUGGUAAGCAUAUUUAAUAGACUCAAUAGUACUGUAAUUUCUGGUCAGAUACAAUGUAUCUGAUGUUUAUGUCUUGAAUUCUUUUUUUUUUUUUAUAGGAUGUGAAUUAAGGAAGAUAACCAAAGAGAAUAUAGAAUUUAACACAUGUUUUUGAUGCCUUAGAAGCUUCUGUGUAGGCUGAGGUUUUUAUUUUGGCUUUUGAUUAAUAUAAGGAACAUUUCAAGAAGUUUAGGUUUUCUACAAACUCCAUGUUUAGAGCUCAAAAAAUUUUGAGAUACACUGUCUAUGAUAUCCUUUAUUAUAAAAGUAGUAUGAUAGCAUUUAAUUAUAGUAGCAAUAAUCAUUAUUGCUAUUAUGACAGUCUCAUAUUUGAGCCAUGCCUAUUGACUUGAGAGAUUUUGUUUAA